AACGAACGCUGGCGGCAUGCCUAACACAUGCAAGUCGAGCGGCAGCGGGAAGGUAGCUUGCUGCUUUUGCCGGCGAGCGGCGGACGGGUGAGUAAUGCCUGGGAAAUUGCCCAGUCGAGGGGGAUAACAGUUGGAAACGACUGCUAAUACCGCAUACGCCCUACGGGGGAAAGCAGGGGACCUUCGGGCCUUGCGCGAUUGGAUAUGCCCAGGUGGGAUUAGCUAGUUGGUGAGGUAAUGGCUCACCAAGGCGACGAUCCCUAGCUGGUCUGAGAGGACGAUCAGCCACACCGGAACUGAGACACGGUCCAGACUCCUACGGGAGGCAGCAGUGGGGAAUAUUGCACAAUGGGGGAAACCCUGAUGCAGCCAUGCCGCGCGUGUGAAGAAGGCCUUCGGGUUGUAAAGCACUUUCAGCGAGGAGGAAAGGUUGUUGGCUAAUAUCCAACAGCUGUGACGUUACUCGCAGAAGAAGCACCGGCUAACUCCGUGCCAGCCGCCGCCGUAAAAC
rnacentral:rRNA from 1 species